AGAGUUUGAUCCUGGCUCAGGAUGAACGCUGGCGGCGUGCUUAACACAUGCAAGUCGAACGAAGCACUUUACUUUGAUUCCUUCGGGUUGAUUAGUACUGUGACUGAGUGGCGGACGGGUGAGUAACGCGUGGGUAACCUGCCCCAUACAGGGGGAUAACAGAUAGAAAUGUCUGCUAAUACCGCAUAAGACCACAGCACCGCAUGGUGCAGGGGUAAAAACUCCGGUGGUAUGGGAUGGACCCGCGUCUGAUUAGCUGGUUGGUGAGGUAAAGGCUCACCAAGGCGACGAUCAGUAGCCGACCUGAGAGGGUGACCGGCCACAUUGGGACUGAGACACGGCCCAAACUCCUACGGGAGGCAGCAGUGGGGAAUAUUGCACAAUGGGGGAAACCCUGAUGCAGCGACGCCGCGUGAAGGAUGAAGUAUUUCGGUAUGUAAACUUCUAUCAGCAGGGAAGAAAAUGACGGUACCUGACUAAGAAGCCCCGGCUAACUACGUGCCAGCAGCCGCGGUAAUACGUAGGGGGCAAGCGUUAUCCGGAUUUACUGGGUGUAAAGGGAGCGUAGACGGUAUGGCAAGUCUGAUGUGAAAACCCGGGGCUCAACCCCGGGACUGCAUUGGAAACUGUCGGACUAGAGUGUCGGAGAGGCAAGUGGAAUUCCUAGUGUAGCGGUGAAAUGCGUAGAUAUUAGGAGGAACACCAGUGGCGAAGGCGGCUUGCUGGACGAUGACCGACGUUGAGGCUCGAAAGCGUGGGGAGCAAACAGGAUUAGAUACCCUGGUAGUCCACGCCGUAAACGAUGACUACUAGGUGUCGGGUGGCAAAGCCAUUCGGUGCCGCAGCAAACGCAAUAAGUAUCCCACCUGGGGAGUACGAUCGCAAGGUUGAAACUCAAAGGAAUUGACGGGGGCCCGCACAAGCGGUGGAGUAUGUGGUUUAAUUCGAAGCAACGCGAAGAACCUUACCAGGCCUUGACAUGGGAUGCGAAGAUGCAGAGAUGCAUCGGAGGUCAACAUCCACACAGGUGGUGCAUGGUUGUCGUCAGCUCGUGUCGUGAGAUGUUGGGUCAAGUCCCGCAACGAGCGCAACCCUUGUGGCAUGUUGCUAACAGGAAAAGCUGAGGACUCAUGCCAGACUGCCGGUGACAAACCGGAGGAAGGCGGGGAUGACGUCAAAUCAUCAUGCCCCUUAUGGCCUGGGCUACACACGUACUACAAUGGCGGCUACAAAGAGCAGCGAGACAGGGAUGUCGAGCGAAUCUCAUAAAAGCCGUCCCAGUUCGGAUUGGAGGCUGCAACCCGCCUCCAUGAAGUUGGAAUCGCUAGUAAUCGCGGAUCAGCAUGCCGCGGUGAAUACGUUCCCGGGCCUUGCACUCACCGCCCGUCA
rnacentral:rRNA from 1 species